rnacentral:rRNA from 1 species
AUUGAACGCUGGCGGCAGGCCUAACACAUGCAAGUCGAGCGGAUGACGGGAGCUUGCUCCUUGAUUCAGCGGCGGACGGGUGAGUAAUGCCUAGGAAUCUGCCUGGUAGUGGGGGACAACGUUUCGAAAGGAACGCUAAUACCGCAUACGUCCUACGGGAGAAAGCAGGGGACCUUCGGGCCUUGCGCUAUCAGAUGAGCCUAGGUCGGAUUAGCUAGUUGGUGUGGUAAUGGCUCACCAAGGCGACGAUCCGUAACUGGUCUGAGAGGAUGAUCAGUCACAUUGGAACUGAGACACGGUCCAGACUCCUACGGGAGGCAGCAGUGGGGAAUAUUGGACAAUGGGCGAAAGCCUGAUCCAGCCAUGCCGCGUGUGUGAAGAAGGUCUUCGGAUUGUAAAGCACUUUAAGUUGGGAGGAAGGGCAGUAAGUUAAUACCUUGCUGUUUUGACGUUACCGACAGAAUAAGCACCGGCUAACUCUGUGCCAGCAGCCGCAGUAA